rnacentral:piRNA from 1 species
UAGGUGUGCAAUGUUUGUACCCAUCC